rnacentral:rRNA from 1 species
UUGAACGCUGGCGGCAUGCUUUACACAUGCAAGUCGAACGGCAGCGGGGGCUUCGGCCCGCCGGCGAGUGGCGAACGGGUGAGUAAUGCAUCGGAACGUACCCAGUCGUGGGGGAUAACUACGCGAAAGCGUAGCUAAUACCGCAUACGCCCUGAGGGGGAAAGCGGGGGACCUUCGGGCCUCGCGCGAUUGGAGCGGCUGAUGUCGGAUUAGCUAGUUGGUGGGGUAAAGGCCUACCAAGGCGACGAUCCGUAGCUGGUCUGAGAGGAUGAUCAGCCACACUGGGACUGAGACACGGCCCAGACUCCUACGGGAGGCAGCAGUGGGGAAUUUUGGACCAUGGGGGCAACCCUGAUCCAGCCAUGCCGCGUGAGUGAAGAAGGCCUUCGGGUUGUAAAGCUCUUUCAGACGGAAAGAAACGGCGGAUACUAAUAUUAUCCGUUACUGACGGUACCUGAAGAAGAAGCACCGGCUAACUACGU